CCGCGUGAGCGAUGAAGGCUUUCGAGUCGUAAAGCUCUGUCCUAUCUGGAAGAUAAUGACGGUACCAUAGAAGAAAGCCCCGGCUAAUUACGUGCCAGCAGCCGCGGUAAU
rnacentral:rRNA from 1 species